UCGGAAAUCAUCAAUGAGAGUGUGAUUGAAGCUGUGGAUUCCUUGAAUCCAUUCAUGCAUGCUCGAGGUGUCUCAUUCAUGGUUGAUAACUGUUCAACAACUGCGCGAUUAGGAUCAAGGAAAUGGGCACCACGCUUCGAUUACAUCCUUACUCAACAGGCCUUUGUUGCAGUGGAUGCAGGCGCUCCCCUUAAUCAGGACCUUAUUAGCAACUUCCUGUCUGAUUCUGUUCAUGGGGCUAUUGAAGUCUGUGCCCAGUUGAGACCAACUGUUGACAUUUCAGUGCCUCCAGAUGCAGAUUUCGUUCGCCCAGAGUUGCGCCAGUCUGGCAAUUAGAUGUGAAGAGAUUU
rnacentral:lncRNA from 1 species